GACGAACGCUGGCGGCGUGCUUAACACAUGCAAGUCGAACGAGUGGCGAACGGGUGAGUAACACGUGGGUGAUCUGCCUUGCACUUCGGGAUAAGCUUGGGAAACUGGGUCUAAUACCGGAUAGUGCAAGAUGAGCUCGCGGCCUCUCAGCUUGUUGGUGGGGUAAUGGCUACCAAGGCGCGACGGGUAGCCGGCCUGAGAGGGUGUACGGCCAGAUUGGUACUGAGAUACGGCGCAAGCUCGUACGGGGGGCAGCAGUGGGGGAUAUUGCACAAGGGGCGGAGGCCUGAUGGAGGGACGACGCGUGGGGGAUAAAUGCCUUCGGGUUGUAAAGUGCUUUCGGCAGGAACGCGGUAGCUGGAUAAGAAGCACCGGCUAACUACGUGCCAGCAGCCGCGGUAAUUC
rnacentral:rRNA from 1 species